rnacentral:rRNA from 1 species
UACGGAGGGUGCAAGCGUUGUCCGGAUUUAUUGGGCGUAAAGAGCGUGUAGGCGGCCAGACAGGUCAGCUGUGAAAACUCGAGGCUCAACCUCGAGACGUCGGUUGAAACCGUCUGGCUAGAGUCCGGAAGAGGAGAGUGGAAUUCCCGGUGUAGCGGUGAAAUGCGCAGAUAUCGGGAAGAACACCCGUGGCGAAGGCGGCUCUCUGGGACGGUACUGACGCUGAGACGCGAAAGCGUGGGGAGCGAACAGG